GACCAGACUCCUACGGGAGGCAGCAGUGGGGGAUAUUGCACAAUGGGGGAACCCUGAUGCAGCGACGCCGCGUGGGUGAAGGAGUAUUUCGGUAUGUAAAGCCCUAUCGGCAGGGAAGAAGCAAGACGGUACCUGACUAAGAAGCCCCGGCUAACUACGUGCCAGCAGCCGCGGUAAUACGUAGGGGGCGAGCGUUAUCCGGAUUCACUGGGUGUAAAGGGAGCGUAGACGGCCAAGCAAGCCAGGGGUGAAAGCCCGGGGCCCAACCCCGGGACUGCCCUUGGAACUGCAUGGCUGGAGUGCGGGAGGGGCAGGCGGAAUUCCUGGUGUAGCGGUGAAAUGCGUAGAUAUCAGGAGGAACACCGGCGGCGAAGGCGGCCUGCUGGACCGCGACUGACGUUGAGGCUCGAAAGCGUGGGGAGCGAACAGGAUUAGAUACCCCUGUAU
rnacentral:rRNA from 1 species